rnacentral:piRNA from 1 species
CUUCAUUAUAUUUGCCAUGGUC